UACGAAGGGGGCUAGCGUUGCUCGGAAUCACUGGGCGUAAAGGGUGCGUAGGCGGGUCUUUAAGUCAGGUGUGAAAUCUCGGGGCUCAACCCCGAAACUGCACUUGAUACUGCCUUGCUCGAGUACUGGAGAGGAGAUUGGAAUUUACGGUGUAGCAGUGAAAUGCGUAGAUAUCGUAAGGAAGACCAGUGGCGAAGGCGAAUCUCUGGACAGUUACUGACACUGAGGCACGAAGGCCAGGGGAGCAAACGGG
rnacentral:rRNA from 1 species